UCGCGGUAACUCUGACCGUGAUAAUGUAGCGAAAUCAAUCGUCGUUUAAUUGACGACCAGUAUGAAUGGUUAAACGAAUUUUCCACUGUCUCGAAGGUAAAUCCGCUGAAAUUGUAAUAAUAGUGAAGAUACUAUUAUUAAACUGUAAGACGAAAAGACCCUAUAGAGCUUGACUAUAAUCUUAUUGAAUAAAUUUAUAAAAAUAAAAGUAAAAUAAGACGGGUAGUUUGGUUGGGGCGACCGUCUUCUAAAAAUAACGAAGACAAACAAAGAUAAAUAAAUUUAACUGUUUAAUUAAUGAAUUUAACAAAUACAAGCGUAGGUAAAAUGACCCGUUUAUUUUUAAAAACUAAAAUAACGAUCAAUAAAUAAAAGCUACCUUAGGGAUAACAGCGUAAUCUUAUUUAAGAGUCCUUAUCGACAAUAAGGUUUGCGACCUCGAUGUUGAAUUAUGAUAACCUGAAGGUGUAGCAGCU
rnacentral:rRNA from 1 species